AUUGAACGCUGGCGGCAGGCUUAACACAUGCAAGUCGAGCGGGGGAAGGUAGCUUGCUACUGGACCUAGCGGCGGACGGGUGAGUAAUGCUUAGGAAUCUGCCUAUUAGUGGGGGACAACAUCUCGAAAGGGAUGCUAAUACCCCAUACGUCCUACGGGAGAAAGCGGGGGAUCUUCGGACCUUGCGCUAAUAGAUGAGCCUAAGUCGGAUUAGCUAGUUGGUGGGGUAAAGGCCUACCAAGGCGACGAUCUGUAGCGGGUCUGAGAGGAUGAUCCGCCACACUGGGACUGAGACACGGCCCAGACUCCUACGGGAGGCAGCAGUGGGGAAUAUUGGACAAUGGGGGGAACCCUGAUCCAGCCAUGCCGCGUGUGUGAAGAAGGCCUUAUGGUUGUAAAGCACUUUAAGCGAGGAGGAGGCUACUUUAGUUAAUACCUAGAGAUAGUGGACGUUACUCGCAGAAUAAGCACCGGCUAACUCUGUGCCAGCCGCCGCAGUAA
rnacentral:rRNA from 1 species